GAGUUUGAUCCUGGCUCAGGACGAACGCUGGCGGCGUGCCUAAUACAUGCAAGUCGAGCGAACAGAGAAGGAGCUUGCUCCUUCGACGUUAGCGGCGGACGGGUGAGUAACACGUGGGCAACCUACCUUAUAGUUUGGGAUAACUCCGGGAAACCGGGGCUAAUACCGAAUAAUCUGUUUCACCUCAUGGUGAAACACUGAAAGACGGUUUCGGCUGUCGCUAUAGGAUGGGCCCGCGGCGCAUUAGCUAGUUGGUGAGGUAACGGCUCACCAAGGCGACGAUGCGUAGCCGACCUGAGAGGGUGAUCGGCCACACUGGGACUGAGACACGGCCCAGACUCCUACGGGAGGCAGCAGUAGGGAAUCUUCCACAAUGGGCGAAAGCCUGAUGGAGCAACGCCGCGUGAGUGAAGAAGGAUUUCGGUUCGUAAAACUCUGUUGUAAGGGAAGAACAAGUACAGUAGUAACUGGCUGUACCUUGACGGUACCUUAAUAUAAAGCCACGGCUAAAUACGUGCCAGCAGCCGCGGGAAAUACGUAGGUGGCAAGCGUUGUCCGGAAUUAUUGGGGCGUAAAACNCGCGCAGGUGGUUUUCUUAAAUUCUGAAGGUGAAAACCCNCCGCUCAACCCUGGAAGGUUCAUUGGAAAACUGGGAACACCUUGAGGUGCCNUAA
rnacentral:rRNA from 1 species